rnacentral:lncRNA from 1 species
UAGAUGAGUUAGGGGUUUUAGAUAGUGAAUGAAUUAUAAUUUGUUUGAAGGUUAUAGAGCCCAAUUUCCCAUGAAAGAAGAGUAAAAGAUUUUAAAAAAAAAAUUAAAUUAUAGGAUAAGAUCCAUUUGUAUCGGGCUUGGGUGGGUAACCCAUAGUACUGUGGUUGGGUUGGUAAUUCUGAAGAUUCAUUAAGGGAUUUAUUGUAUUUAGAUGUGUUUUGGAUUUAAAAGAAAAUCAAAAGUUAAAUACUUUUAUAAGAGGGACAUAUUAGAUAUUUUUAAGAACACUUGGGGUAUAUGGAGUUAAAAGUUCAUUUCACAUAAUUUUACCUUUUAAUUUAUUUUUUAGUUUUAAAAAUAAUACAUUAAUUAUAUUAUAAAUGGAUGAUUGCAUAAAACCCCCUGUAAAUACCAUCACCCUAUCUAUUCCCACCUAUACUAUCAAGCUCUUUACCAAACCACUGAUGCUAAAGAAGAAGCAACUAUCAUGUUCGAGGACGAAGCAUAUUCUGCCCAAGAUCUUCAUCACCCACAGAUUUCAGAAAAUUGGAGAGGUCCAAGGGAUCUUCAGUAAUGUCCAAAUCAGGGGGAGUAAUGUGUAUUGUACUUUUUUUCCUUCACCAUGGUUUUGUCCCAAUUGGAUUUUCCUGGUAAUGUUUUAAUAAGGCAACAUUAAAGCACAUUACAAGCUCUAAAUGGUUAUGACAUCCAAUGGAGAGUGUUAUGAACCAGAUUGUGUAUUGCUCAUAACCAAGAGAUUAUGAUUUGUAAUCUUUCUAUUUAUCUAUGACGAUGUAAUUUUCUAUAUAACGAAUCUCUAUGUUAUGAAUAAAGAUAAACUUUUUCAUUAUUUUUAUAACAUAAUUUAAGUUUUAUGUUUGAUUUUGAGUUUAGAUGUCUCCAUCAUAACUUUUGUGAAAACCCUAAAAAGAGAAUCAGAUCUGGAUAAACCAAUUCUAUCUGAAUAUAAUUCUGGUUUUGGUUUACCUUCGGAUGCUGGUUUUUAAACAUCUUAAGAUCAUCUCUAGUUUUACAAAGUUAAUGGCUUCCCAUGAGUAAUGAGAACUAAUCAAAGCUAAUAUUUUAUUUUACAUGAUCCAUCAGUUAACAAAUUCAAAACUGACAACUUAUAUUUAAUAGUAACCAUGGAAGAUAAUAUAUCACUACCAUAAUUAUUUAUUUGUUGAUCUACUAAUUAAACAUUAAUCACUUCAUGAAACCUUGAGCCAUCUUAGCAUAGUCUCCUAACCCAUGGCUGCCACCUCCCGACUUCUCAUCCUCUUUCUUAACCGCCGGUCCUCCAGCUCCUCCUCCAUGGCUUCCGCUGACACCACCGUGACUGCCAGCACCGCCAGAGGAGUGAGAGUUGGAAGACUCGUACUUGUGGAGAAAAUUUUCAGCCUUUUCGAGGUACUGACCAACACCACUCUUUUCAUCAAGCUUGCCGUAUCUUUGAGCUGCGUCUAGUAUGUCGGCGGUGGCUCCGGCGACUUUAGCUUUGUCGAGUUUGUCUGUCUCGUUGCGAGAAGCGGCUUGAGCAGCCUCCGCUACGAUCUUGGCGCUAGCCAUGAGCUCGGCGUUUGUAGCUGGCUUAUGCAUUGUUGGAUCGGAGCUGGAAGCAGGUUUAUGUGUUGGAACGGUGUGGCCCGGUUUGUUAUUGUUGUGGUUCGGGUCAGGGUCUGAAGUUUCCGGUUUCUUGUCGGAGAAUUUCUUCUUUACUUGGUCGGUGAGGAAAUCCAUGUUUCUUGUCUCGUCUCAGACGAAAAAAGGUUGUUUUAGUUGAUCUUGAGUUUGGAAAAUGUAAAGUAACAAGUUAUUCGGGGAUGGUAUUUAUUGAAAGUGAGAAAGAUUAAUACUUUAUUCAUUGUCCACUAGUUUUAUUUUUGCCUCCGCUACUUAAUGGGGAUAAUUAUAGGCAUGAUCUUUCCACCACAACUUUAAAGAAAACGUAAUUAGCGUUUAUGGAUAUGGUCAAGAAGAGAGUCAAAUCAGUUCACAUUUCAUUGAUCCCUUACCCAAACAAAUAAACAAAACAAAUCCCCAAGUUCAUUGCCAUUUGUUUACCAUUUACCACAUGUUUACUUUCAGAGCCAUAUAUAUGGGCAUAACCCAAUAACACAUUUGUUUUAUCUCCAGAAUCUUAAAAUAUUUUAUAUAGAGACAUAAGCUACUAAACUGUUUAAUUCUUUUUUUUCCUUACUUGGACCCCAGAAUAUCAGAUCCGACCAUGUUUACUUAUACAAUUUAACACGUAAUUAUAGUAUUUAAGAGAAUGCCUUAUUUUGCUCCCUUGCCCUGAUGUCUGGUCUGAGUUCUUUCAUGUUGGCAAUGUGUACUUAUAGAGUUUAACACGUAAUUAUAGUAUUGUUAGAAAAUGAAUUAUAAUACUCCUUUUGUAUACAAAUUCAUGAUGUUUUAUAAACUUAAUAUAGUGUAAUUUUCAUCAAAAUUAUGAAUAUAAAUGAUAUUUAUAAAAUUUUAGAUCAAAUAAACAAAUAAAAAUAUUAUUAAAAAAUAGAUUAGGCGGCCGCCUAAGCGGCUAGGCGGUCAUUUAGGCGGUCUAGGCGGAAAAAAGCGGAUAUCCGAUUUUUUAAAUCGAUUUGGCAUAAAUCGGAACGGAAAAGUAACGCGUAGCGCCUAGGCGGCCCAUUUUUAGAAAAGGGGGUUUUACUAACUGGUCCCAUCUAUGCAAGAAAAAGGGAGAGGUAGGUUUCUAUUUUUGGUAAACAUUGAUAAAUGAGCCAAACAUGUUGUCAUUAACGCACCUCUAUCAUCUUUCUGCGAAACUUCACCUUUAAGUUUUUUUUUACCAAAGCUUUGGUCAGAUUGCAAUGGGUCCUUAGUCCUUAAGGGAUGCAGAUGUAACUAUAAUUACUUACACGUAAGUCGUCAAGUUUUCAUAAAAUAUUGAAAUUUUAACUUUCCCNNNNNNNNNNNNNNNNNNNNNNNNNNNNNNNNNNNNNNNNNNNNNNNNNNNNNNNNNNNNNNNNNNNNNNNNNNNNNNNNNNNNNNNNNNNNNNNNNNNNUGACUUUGUAAAUGCUUUAGAGAAGUUUUGAUCAUUGCGAAUAAACUAAUAUAGUAUAGAAUAUAGUAUAGUAUAGUACACUAAUAUAAGGGUUUAUUUGCUCUCUAACCAAAUUUGGUUUUAAUCAUUACACAUAAACCAAUAUAGUAUGAAUUGCAUAUUACAACCAAUCACACAAAAUGACAGAGAAAAGAACUAUCAAAUUUGAAGACAUGACAAAUUAUUACAUUUUAGAGAAUAGUAUAGAAAUACGUCUCAAAUAGUAUGGUACAUGUAUAUAAAGCUACAUUAAAGAAUCGAUACUUAACUAUUUUUUUCAUCGAAUAUAGUAUAGACGGCGAGUUCAUCUUCUUCAAUUCAUUUUUUUUUCACAGGCUGAUACACAUUCACUUGAAUCGCCGUCAUUAUUCUUCACCACCAUAUAGAGAUCAUCUUCAUCUCCUCUCUCUUUUUCGACACGGCGACACUUUUACCGAUCCGCCGUCGUUAUUCUUCACCACUAUAUAUGUAAAGCAUCAUGGAUAUAACCCUGAUGCGAUAAUCUCAAUCUCAUUUGCAAGAUUCAAAAACGAAAACAAAGUAUGAAAGCAAAAACAUGAUUAUGAAACUAAAAAUCAAUGAUUUAAGAGAAAGAGAAAAAUAAAUGAAAGAGUUGGUGUGUCUACUCACCGUGUAUGCCUUAACAGUUGUCUCUUAUUUAUCACAAUUGGUUGUCCUUCUUGUGAGAAGAAAUCAAUUCCAGAAUAAAUCUGGGAAGAAGACUUUUAUCUUUUGCAAAGUUACCAAAAUAAAUUACAUAUGAAAGAAUGUGUUUUUCAAAGGGCCACAAGUUAUGUUUUAGUAUUAUUAUUAUUAAAUCAAUUUAUUUUUUUUCUUACAUGUUUCACCGGUUGCAUGUGAGGGGCAAUAUGUCAAUAUUAUAUAUAAGAGGUAAGUUGUAUAGAUGAGUUAGGGGUUUUAGAUAGUGAAUGAAUUAUAAUUUGUUUGAAGGUUAUAGAGCCCAAUUUCCCAUGAAAGAAGAGGAAAAGAUUUAAAAAAAAAAAUUAAAUUAUAGGAUAAGAUCCAUUUGUAUCGGGCUUGGGUGGGUAACCCAUAGUACUGUGGUUGGGUUGGUAAUUCUGAAGAUUCAUUAAUGGAUUUAUUGUAUUUAGAUGUGUUUUGGAUUUAAAAAAAAAUCAAAAGUUAAAUACUUUUAUAAGAGGGACAUAUUAGAUUUUUUUAAGAACACUUGGGGUAUAUGGAGUUAAAAGUUCAUUUCACAUAAUUUUACCUUUUAAUUUAUUUUUUAGUUUUAAAAAUAAUACAUUAAUUAUAUUAUAAAUGGA